UCCCCUGGUUCUGUGUCACCUCCCCUGGUUCUGGGUCACCUCCUCUGGUCCUGGGUCACCUGUCCUGGUUCUGGGUCACCUCCAGGUCACGGGGAUGGAGGUCCUGGGGUGUUUGGGGACACAGGGUGACAGUCCUUGGGGACAGCCCGGUGGCACCUUGGGGACAGCCUGGUGCCACCUUGGGGACAGGGGGUGGCACCUCGGGGACAGCCUGGUGGCGCCCUGGGGUGGUUGGUGGAGUGUUGUGUACGGGGAAAAUGAAGAGGUUUCAUCAUUUGUGGUGUUUUGGGUCAUUUUGGGU
rnacentral:lncRNA from 1 species